AUGCUGAUGUGGAGGAGAGAAGAGAGGAGAGAGAUGAUAGCUUGGCUCUUAGUUAAGCACCAAGCUGGACACGGAUGCAUAGGUAGUAGUGGGCCCAAAAAGCAAAUGUUGUGAGAAGAAAGAAGAAAGAGAAUGUGUUUUAGAGCAGGUACAAUAAUGGGCUUAUAGCCAAGCUAAUGCUGAUGUGGAAGAGAGAAGAGAUGAGAGAGAUGAUAGC
rnacentral:lncRNA from 1 species